UCUUACAGAUGAGCAAAGAAAGUGAUUUCUUGAGAUGGAAUCUACUCCUGGUGAAGAUGCUGUGAA
rnacentral:pre_miRNA from 1 species